UUAUACUGGAAAGACAGUAACAAAUAUUUUAUAUUUUGAACACCAACUGCACAAUAUAAUAAUACAAAUUUUCGUUUACAUGAAAUACAAUAGGUUAGUUAAAUUAAUUAUUAAUAUAAUAGACUAUUUAUAAUCCGUGAUCACUCAGUGGUGAGGUGUCCUUCAUCACCCUAAGAAAAUCUGCUAAGCUUGACCAUGCAUGCAUUUCUUGCUUUUCGAAAGCGGUUAGAAUAGAACUUCUAUGAGACAAUGCUCAGAUUGUUUAUAUUUAAAUAUCACUGCUAAAUAAUAAACAUGUCAAGGUUGUUAUACAGCCAUUAUACUGUACUUUAACAAAAAGAUUUACUGCACUGUGCUACAGCAACUGUCCAGUCACGCAUACAUAGAAAAGGCCGAUAUAAACCAUAGAUAUCUUAUAUACACUAGAUCGCGCAUCUCUUUUAGUAAAAUUGAAGCCAAGAAUAUUCCAGCGGUUACCCCCAUUUGAAUAGAUGGCGGCCAUGUUGGUCGUUACCACUUGCU